AUGGCUAUUUUUCAGGAAGUUUUAUCAGAUUGCAAUUUAUUUGGCUUGGGCUAUCAUGGUAUUCCAUGGACGUAUGAUAAUAAACAAGAUGGUAAUAAUAAUGUGAAGGUCCGAUUGGACCAUGUGGUGGCUUGCCCUCUUUGGUCGUCUAUUUUCCCAAAGUGCAAGGUGUCUCACGUUAUCAGCUCCAGGUCAGACCAUUGUCCUCUCUUUAUAGAGCUAUUGGGACCGCCUCCUGGGGGCAGUCUUUUUUCUAAACAGUUGAGAUAUGAGGCUUAUUGGGAGAGGGAAGGUUCUUUGUUGGAUGAUCAUAUCAAAUCUUGUUGGAGUUUUGUGUAG
rnacentral:rRNA from 1 species